rnacentral:misc_RNA from 1 species
GAUGAAGAACGUAGCGAAAUGUGAUAAGUAAUGUGAAUUGCAGAAUUCAGUGAAUCAUCGAAUCUUUGAACGCACCUUGCGCUCUUUGGUAUUCCGAAGAGCAUGCCUGUUUGAGUGUCAUGAAAAUAUCAACCUUGACUUGGGUUUUGUGCUCUAGUCUCGGCUUGGAAUUGGGUGCUUGCCGCUUUUACGAGCGGCUCACCUUAAAUGUAUUAGCUGGAUCUGUCUUUGAGACUUGGUUUGACUUGGCGUAAUAAGUAUUUCGCUAAGGACAUUCUUCGGAGUGGCCUCGUUUCUAGGACGCUUGUCCGCUUUCCAAUACAAGUUCCACCUCGUGGACAUGACUUUUUAUUAUCUGGCCUCAAAUCAGGUAGGACUACCCGCUGAACUUAAGCAUAUCAAUAAGCGGAGGA